AAAGCGAGCGGCGGAUGGGUGAGUAACACGUGGGGAACCUGCCCCAUAGUCUAGGAUACCACGUUGGAAACAGGUGCUAAUACCGGAUAAGAAAGCAGAUCGCAUGAUCAGCUUUUAAAAGGCGGCGUAAGCUGUCGCUAUGGGAUGGCCCCGCGGUGCAUUAACUAGUUGGUAAGGUAAAGGCUUACCAAGGCGAUGAUGCAUAGCCGAGUUGAGAGACUGAUCGGCCACAUUGGGACUGAGACACGGCCCAAACUCCUACGGGAGGCAGCAGUAGGGAAUCUUCCACAAUGGACGCAAGUCUGAUGGAGCAACGCCGCGUGAGUGAAGAAGGUUUUCGGAUCGUAAAGCUCUGUUGUUGGUGAAGAAGGAUAGAGGUAGUAACUGGCCUUUAUUUGACGGUAAUCAACCAGAAAGUCACGGCUAACUACGUGCCAGCAGCCGCGGUAAUACGUAGGUGGCAAGCGUUGUCCGGAUUUAUUGGGCGUAAAGCGAGCGCAGGCGGAAGAAUAAGUCUGAUGUGAAAGCCCUCGGCUUAACCGAGGAACUGCAUCGGAAACUGUUUUUCUUGAGUGCAGAACAGGAGAGUGGAACUCCCUGUGUAGCG
rnacentral:rRNA from 1 species